UUUAAAUUUAUUUAUUAAUUAUAUAUAUAUAUAUAUAUAUAUAUAUAUUAAAAAUAGUUAUAAAAGUAAAUUUUUUAGUAUUAAUUUAAGAAAAAAUAUUAUUAAUUAUAGUUUAUUAGUAUUGAUAAAGAAAAAUGAAAUAAUAUGAAAAAUUUUAAUAAUAAAAGAAAAAUUAAUAAUUUGUACCUUGUGUAUCAGGGUUUAUUAAAUAAAAUUUAAUUAUAUUAAUUUUCUCGAUUUUAAAAGAUUUAAUAUAUUAGAAAAUAUAAAGUUAUAAAUUUAUUUUUAAUAAUAUAUUUGAAAUGAAAUGUUAUUCGUUUUUAAAGGUAUCUAGUUUAUUAAGAAAUAAAUUUAAUUUAUAAAUUUUAUAUUAUUUAUUUUAUUAUUUAAAUAAAUAAUUAUUUAAUUUAAGUAUUUUAUGGGAUAAGCUAUAAAAUAAAAUAUUAUAAAUAUAAUUAAUUUAAUAAAAUAUAGGGUUAAAAUUAUUCAAUAUUAGAGAAAAUGUAAUAAUUUAUUAUUAAAUUAAUAAUAAUUUAUUUAAUUUUAAUUAUUUAUUAAUAUAUAUUUUAUAAUUAAAUAAAAUUAAAGAUAAUGAUAAAAUUAGUAUAAAUUUUUAUAUUAAUAUAAUUAUUUAAUAAAUUUUAUUAAAGAAUUCGGCAAAUUUUAUAUUCACCUGUUUAACAAAAACAUCUCUUUAUGAUUAAAUAUAAGGUUUAACCUGCCCACUGAAUUAUUUUAAAUGGCUGCAGUAUAUUGACUGUACAAAGGUAGCAUAAUCAUUAGUUUUUUAAUUGAAAACUGGAAUGAAUGGUUGGAUGAAAUAUAAACUGUUUCAGUAAAAAUAUAUUAGAAUUUUAUUUUUUAGUAAAAAAGCUAAAAUAAAUUUAAAAGACGAGAAGACCCUAUAAAUCUUUAUAUAAAAUAUAAAUAUUAAAUUAUUUAGAAGAUUAUAAAAUAUUUAUGUUUUAUAUUUUAUUGGGGAGAUAGUAAAAUUUAUAAAACUUUUAUUUGUUAAAUUCAUUAAUUUAUGAAUUUUUGAUUAAUUUUUAAUGCAUAAAAAAAUAAGUUACUUUAGGGAUAACAGCGUAAUUAUUUUGGAGAGUUCAUAUUGAUAAAAUAGA
rnacentral:rRNA from 1 species